CGUCAGCAUUCUCCUUGGAUUAUCGGCGGCCCCCGGAGGAUUUGGAUUCCAGGAGCUCAUGCCUUGCAGACUUGUUAAAGUGGUUUAUAGAUAGAUGCUGCAACUGUGGUUCUAAGUCUUCCUAGCCUUCUUCUUACAAAUACAGAACAGAUAUGAAAAAAGAAAAAGAAAGCAGGAGCAGUCAAAGUGUGAAAUUGCUUGCUCUGGUUUUGCCUCCAAUUGAUUUUCCAGAGAUUUAAAGCUGCAAGUUGAUCCCUUCUAAGUUCUAACAUGCGUUCUAACUCAUGUAACUAGCCAUCAAUCAUCAGAUGCGUUUUUUUUUCACCCUCAACUAGUUGAAGAGAAGGCCUGCACCAAAAGUGAAUGAGUGAUAUUCGUGACAAUUAACAUUCUUUGCACAUUCACAUUGUCUCAUUAAAAAAAAAUUCAGAGAGAUUCUUGGUCUCUUGGUUUGCUAUUAUUUACUUAUAUAUGCAGCAAAAAUAUGAAUUAAUUCAGGCACUUGCUAUAUUGUUUCUGCAAA